rnacentral:rRNA from 1 species
UACGAAGGGUGCAAGCGUUACUCGGAAUUACUGGGCGUAAAGCGCGCGUAGGCGGGUUAGAAAGUCGAUUGUGAAAGCCCUGGGCUUAACCUGGGAACUGCAGUCGAAACUUCUAAUCUUGAGUGCCUGAGAGGAUGGCGGAAUUCCCGGUGUAGUAGUGAAAUACGUAGAUAUCGGGAAGAACACCUGAGGCGAAGGCGGCUAUCUGGCGGUGCACUGACGCUGAGGCGCGAAAGCGUGGGGAGCAAACAGGAUAGAUA